GAUGAACGCUAGCGGCAGGCUUAAUACAUGCAAGUCGAGGGGCAGCACAGGUAGCAAUACUGGGUGGCGACCGGCAAACGGGUGCGGAACACGUACGCAACCUUCCUUUAAGUGGGGGAUAGCCCAGGGAAACUUGGAUUAAUACCCCUUAACAUUAUGAGAUGGCAUCAUUUUAUAAUUAAAGCUCCGGCGCUUAAAGAUGGGCGUGCGCCUGAUUAGGUAGUUGGCGGGGUAACAGCACACCAAGCCUACGAUCAGUAACUGGUGGGAGACGACGACGAGUCACACGGGAACUGCGACACGGGCCCGACUCCUACGGGAGGCAGCAUUAAGGAAUAUUGGUCAAUGGCCGCAAGUCUGAACCAGCCAUGCCGCGUGGAGGAUGACGGCCCUCUGGGUUGUAAGCUCCUUUUGUCUGGGAAUAAAUGCAGAUUUUCUAAUCUGUUUGACGGUACCAGAGUAAUAAGCACCGGCUAACUCCGUGCCAGCCGCCGCCGUAA
rnacentral:rRNA from 1 species